GGGUCGUUAGCUCAGGGGUAGAGCAGUUGACUUUUAAUCAAUUGGUCGCAGGUUCGAAUCCUGCACGACCCACCA
rnacentral:tRNA from 1 species